rnacentral:rRNA from 1 species
GACGAACGCUGGCGGCGUGCUUAACACAUGCAAGUCGAGCGAGCGGCGGACGGGUGAGUAAUGUAUGGGGACUGCCCGAUAGAGGGGGAUAACUACUGGAAACGGUGGCUAAUACCGCAUACUAUCGGAUAACCCAUAUGGGAUUAGCUAGUAGGUGGGGUAAAGGCUCACCUAGGCGACGAUCUCUAGCUGGUCUGAGAGGAUGAUCAGCCACACGGGGACUGAGACACGGCCCGGACUCUUACGGAGGAAGCAGUGGGGAAUAUUGCAAAAUGGGCGCAAGCCGGAUGCAGCAAUGCCGCGUGUAUGAAUAAGGCCUUAGGGUUGUAAAGUACUUUCAGCGGGGAGGCGUUACCCGCAGAAGAAGCAACGGCUAACUCCGUGCCAGCAGCCGCGGUAAUAC